CCCUUAGAUGUCCUGGGCCGCACGCGCGCUACACUGACGGAGCCAGCGAGCUUACCCCUUUGCCGAAAGGCAUGGGAAAUCUUUUGAAUCUCCGUCGUGCUGGGGAUAGAUCAUUGCAAUUAUUAAUCUUGAACGAGGAAUUCCUAGUAAACGCAGUUCAUCAAACUGCAUUGAUUACGUCCCUGCCCUUUGUACACACCGCCCGUCGCACCUACCGAUUGAAUGGUCCGGUGAAGCCUCGGGAUUGUGGCUGGUUUCCUUUAUUGGAGGUCGGUUGCGAGAACUUGUCUAAACCUUAUCAUUUAGAGGAAGGUGAAGUCGUAACA
rnacentral:rRNA from 1 species